AGCAUUGAAUGUGCUCUACAUUUUCACGGCGGCGAGGAAAGAGGAUGGAAACGGCAACGAUGGAGACGACGGAGAAAGCGGCUGAGGGAUUGAAUUGCGAAGCCAUGGAUUGCUUGUCGGAAAGGCUUUCGUUGCCAGGUAGAAUCUUUACUGCCACGAAUCCGUCUCAACGCAAGGCCAUUCUGCUUGACCUUCUUUCUCGCGAUGUCGCCGUGUUUCUUGGCCUCUCUAUAACUCUGGAUUUUUGCAACUUCUGGUAUGGAUUUCCCCCAAAGAGCGUUAUGGAUCACAGUUGAUAUCCAUUGAGCUCCAUGAGUUUGGUGCUCUGAAGGAUGAUUAUGAGAUGAAUUGGGCACAUUAGAUGAACUACACUUUAGGUCAGUUAUUGUGAAGAAUAGGAUAUUUGCAUAUCUGAAUAAACUGAUAUGUGAUGGCAUGUACUUCUCGGAUAUGCAAUGAGGGGGAGAGAGCCAUUUUUCAUCAUGAAUACUUGGGGAAGUUUCAGGAUCCAAGUGGGAGAGGAAUGGCAGGACCACGGGGAGCGAUGGUCUGAGGCUCUGAUGAGGAGAUCAGAGGAAGCAAUGUUGGUUGCUAAGAUCAGAGUAGAGCAACGUAGGUGUGAGAUCCCGCAUCGGUUGGAGAGAAGAACGAUGAAUUCCUUAUAAGGGUGUGGAAACCUCUCCCUAGUAGAGACGUUUUAAAAACAGUGAAGCUGACGACGAUACGUAACAAGCCGAGAUAAAUAAGCUAGCUAAUGGAGCUCAUACCAUUGAUAGCUCUUAUUCAGAUCACGAAACUGGAAAGAAACGAGAUGAUGCAAGUGCGAACAAGCUGAUGAUGAUCCAUGAUGAGAUGAUGAAUGCAAUUAAAAGACUCGGCUGAACGAUGUCGUAAUCCUGGUAAGAUUAAAAAAUGAUCUCUGUGCUAACUUUUAAUGGCAAGGGUAGAUUCUUCGAUGAGUAUGGGGAUAUAAUUGUGUGCCACACUCCAUGAGUUUGGUAUUAGCUUUUUGCAGUUCCUUAAGCUUUUGUUUCUCACAGAAGAAAAGAAGUUACUCAAAUGGAUAGGAAAUUGGGUUCCUGGUAUUGGCAUCUGCCUCAACUGAAACCUUGGAUAAAGAUAGCGAAGGCUUCCUUAUCUUUGUCUUCGUCCCGACUUAAGACAAGCGGAUGAAAAGUCACAAAGCUCUAUGAAAGGUCUUGAAGUUAGAUCCUCGGGACUGAAUAUUCGGGACUGAAUAUUACCCAAAGCUUCAUGAAAGGUCUUUUGAAGUUAGAUCCUCGGGACCGAAUAUUACUCAAAGCUCCAUGAAAGGUCUUGAAGUUAGAUCCUAGGGACCGAAUAUUACCCAAAGCUCCAUGAAAGGUCUUGAACUUAGAUCCUAGGGAUCGAAUAUUACCCGUCUCCCAUUUAUAGAUGACAUACACUCCUUUUUUAUCCUACAAAAGGGGAGAAUGAAUAAAUUCUUUUUUUUGUAGUUCAUUCUUUUGAGAGAGAGAGCAUUGGGUCAUAAUACCAAGUUAGAAGAUGACCCAACCCUUCUAUCUAACAAACGGACCAUAUUUGUCGUUCAAGCCACACUUUCUGACCUCCCUAGAUGCUAGAGUCCCUUUUUGACUUACUCACAAAGGUUAAGGUCUAUCCUUUGGAAAGAGACCACUAGUGGCAACUAUAAACAUCUUGUUUUUCAACGCUCGUUAUCCUAUUAUUAACCAUGAUUUGGUCUCCAUUGUAUUAAACAACAAA